GUAGUCAUAUGCUUGUCUCAAAGAUUAAGCCAUGCAUGUCUAAGUAUAAGCAAUCUAUACUGUGAAACUGCGAAUGGCUCAUUAAAUCAGUUAUCGUUUAUUUGAUAGUACCUUACUACUUGGAUAACCGUGGUAAUUCUAGAGCUAAUACAUGCUAAAAACCCCGACUUUUGGAGGGGUGUAUUUAUUAGAUAAAAAACCAAUGCCCUUCGGGGCUCCUUGGUGAUUCAUAAUAACUUAACGAAUCGCAUGGCCUUGUGCCGGCGAUGGUUCAUUCAAAUUUCUGCCCUAUCAACUUUCGAUGGUUAGGUCUUGGCUAACCAUGGUUUCAACGGGUAACGGGGAAU
rnacentral:rRNA from 1 species